CACCAUGGCGGGCCGGGCGGGGCAGCCGAUAAGGCUGGCCGGUGUUCGUCAGAGCCGGCAUUGCGACCCCCGCCGCCAGGCCCGCCACCCUC
rnacentral:antisense_RNA from 1 species